AGGCAGUGGGCUCUGACUCAGAGAGGCUUCUGUCCGCUCGUGUCCUGUGAGUUUUUGUUGAGGGGACAACACAGCCCAUUGAGCACAUCGCUGCCUGCCCGAGCACUGUUGAAUUCUUUCCACAUGACGAAGACCAGUACUCAAACACCUUUCCUAAGCAGCAGGACCUGACAGCACAGAGCUUCCCACGGAGAUGUGGCAAGGCUGUGUGAACUGUGUGGGCUGUGGCCACGUAGGUGAGCAUGUCUGUAGGAAUUCUGACGUGGAUGGAGCAGAGAACUGGGCAGAAGUGCCUUGAUGGGAUGGGCUACUCCAGGAUCCAUCCUAUGAUGUGAAUGGCGACUACACAAGCCCAAAGAGGAAAAGAGAUACUGGAGCUGAAUUCCCGGAGUCAAUUUGAUCACAGCCACCAGGUUCCCUAGUUCUGCCAAUUAUGAGCCCUAGAGAUUCUGUGGAAAUGUCGGUGGU
rnacentral:lncRNA from 1 species